rnacentral:rRNA from 1 species
UACGUAGGGGGCAAGCGUUGUCCGGAAUUAUUGGGCGUAAAGAGCGCGUAGGCGGUCCGGUAAGUCGGUUGUGAAAGUCGGGGGCUCAACCCUCGGAUGCCGAUCGAUACUGUCGGGCUAGAGUCCGGAAGAGGCGAGUGGAAUUCCUGGUGUAGCGGUGGAAUGCGCAGAUAUCAGGAGGAACACCAACGGCGAAGGCAGCUCGCUGGGACGGUACUGACACUAAGGCGCGAAAGCGUGGGGAGCGAACAGG